rnacentral:rRNA from 1 species
AUACAGAGGAUGCGAGCGUUAAUCGGAAUUACUGGGCGUAAAGCGCGCGUAGGCGGCUUUGUAAGUCGGAUGUGAAAGCCCUGGGCUCAACCUGGGAAUGGCAUUCGAUACUGCAGAGCUAGAGUAUGGUAGAGGGAAGUGGAAUUUCCGGUGUAGCGGUGAAAUGCGUAGAUAUCGGAAGGAACACCAGUGGCGAAGGCGACUUCCUGGGCCAAUACUGACGCUGAGGUGCGAAAGCGUGGGGAGCAAACAGGAUUAGAUACCCCGGUAGUCC